CCGGCGCGCGCCGCGGGGUCCGCCGCCCUCCGGGCCCGCUCGCCGCAGCCGCCCCGCCCCGCGCCUCCCGGCCGCGCACACUCCCUGCCGGGGCUGAGGCGGGACGGGGAGCGAGCGCCCCGGGGGGCGGUGAGAGCGCGAGCGGCAGCCCGAGGGAGCGGAGCAGGUACCAUCUGACUGGUCUCGUUUGAGAGUACUGGGAACAGACCAAGCGGCACUACACGUCUCUUGUGAUUUCCAAGCUGAAAUUUCUAUAUUGUUUUUCUCCCAUGCUUUGUAACUGGAAAGAAGAAUGGAAAAGUUUGCUUACGUUUUGUGUCAUAUUAUCAUUCUUACGGUUGGUGAUUCCUGCUACCACUCACCUGUUGUCAGCCAGCUUCGGAAUCCAAAUUAGCUUUCACUGCUUUGAAGCAAGGCAAGCUAGAUGAGAUCUUGUAUAGCACAACUGACUUAAGUGUUUUACAGUGAGAAUUUUUAUAAAUCUCAAAUCCAACCUCAUCACAGAGGAAAUUGAAGACCAAAAUCAGAUUUAUAAAUAUGGUUAAGUAACAGCUAGAACCAGAAUCUGGAUAAACUUAGUCCAAUUUAAGACUACCGUGGUUUUCAAAGUUAACACAUGAGAAUUACAUGAGUCCCUUUUUACAAUACUUGAAGCCAACCCUAGAGCAAAUGAAUCAAUUUUGAGAAGUAAGACUUAGCCAUGGAUAUGUUUUCAAAGUAUCUCAACCAACUAGCAAAGUUUGGGAAAUAAACAUUAUAAAAUAAUGGUGAAGAAAGAAAACAAGACAAGAAGAAAAACAAAAGGAAGCGCUUCUGGAAAAAAAUUGAAUCACCUAAAAUUCAGUGUCAUACUUUAUUAUACACACUCUCCUUUCUUGCAUGCCAGCCACCACACAGCUGGUAUACAUACUUACGGCUGUAACCUAGGAAACACCAGCCACCAAAAUACGCUAUUAAAAUAAAAGCAUAUGUAUGAACAGCAGGAAUUUUAUGAGUGUAUCCCAAGCACCUGGAAUAAUACAUGGCUUAUAGGUGGAUGCCUCAACAACUAUUUGGUUAAUUGCUUCCUGAGGUGAGGAUUUAUCUUCAUUACUUGCUUACAUUGAAUCUGAGAAUGGGGGGAAACAUUCUAGAAAGAGGAGAAAAUAAAUGCAAAGAAACUAUUAACUUUUGAUUCGGACCCUGGCAUCACCUCUGUCCUUACCUACAACCCUUGUUCUAUGACAAUCUUCUUGCCCUCCAGUGUCUGCAACUUUCAGAUGCUUUUCUUUCAGUUUGACUUACCGUUUCAGUCAUAUGUCUUUGCCAUAUCCUCAGCCUUUUUCUUCCACCUAUUUGCUCCAGGCUCUCUUAUCAGUGUGCAUAGUGAUGCAAGUGUCAUGAUAUGACUUAACCAUUUCCUUGUCUAUAUCCUCAACUGAACCAUGAACUGUUUUAGCAAGGGAUGCACUUUUUCCCAGUUUCCCCAGGCCAUAUUAAAGUGCUUGGUACACUACAGCAGCUCAGCAACUGUAUGCUCAACAAACGGAUGAACAGCUACAAAAUAUGAGAGAAUUACUCACUGUAGUAUGAAGAGCACAGAAUUAAAAGCAAAGGAUGGUAUAGAAAUAGGUGAUGUAAGACUGUUUCCUAGCUUAUAUGCCUUGCUGAAGAAUUUGCAUUUGUUUUAUAGUCAUUGUACCAUGGAAGUCUUUAGACAGAAAACUGACAUGAUAAGCUUUGAUUUUCAGAAGCAUGUCUUGCAUUAAUUUCUUUAUUCAUAGCUAAAACACCUGCCAAUAGAAUUAGUAAAAGGACACAGAUGCACUCUGAUUUACACUUGGAGACACAAAUAGCAGAAUUUUUUUAACUUCUUGAUUUCAGGAUUUAUUUGUGUAGCUAUUUUUCUCAGUAGAUUAUAACAGCAUGAUAAUGAGGCCAAGGUCAUGGUUUAAAUCUCUGUGUGAGUCAGACAGUGCAAUAGCCACAGCUGACUAUUAAUCUCUGCCAGUUGUCAAAUGACAACAAAUACUAUUUUUUGACCAGAAAUUCAGUGGGAGAAUAUGACCAGUUCAUUCCAAGCUAAUCAGCAUUAUGAGAAAAGCAACUCAAAGUGCCUGGCUGUUAGCUGAGCAAACAUCCUAAAACAACACACACAGGUCUUUCUAGAUUAAAACCACCGGACUUAGUGGUGACCAAAGCGUACAGCACCAGGAAAAAACAUCAUUUGCUCCCGGAGAAGAAGAAACUAAAGAUUGGUAUAGCUUCUUUGUUGAGAUUCAUGACCAAAAAGUAAUUUUGAAAAAAACUUAAGUGGAUCUUAGUGUAAAUAAGCUUUAUCACUUACUUGUGUAUUCAGCAGUACAUGAGGGCAUUUCACAGUGACCACAUCGUAACACAGCUACUAUAGUAAAAACUCUUGGGACAAUGAUACUGCAUUCAUCUUUCAUUUGUAGCUUUAUAAAGCCACUUCUGUUAUAUUCCUGCCUAACAAUCAGUAACUAUGUUUGUAGAGUUAAGGACAAUGUUAAAGGUCGGUGCAUGUAAGUACAACUUGCUCUUUUAACGGAAUAUUUAUUUUCAUUAAAACUUAGAAUACUGCAAUGGAAAAAAAUGUAAUUUUAUGUCAGAAACCAUUUUUAACUGUUAAUGUAAAAAAUAAUCUAGGCAUUCGGUGUCAACUAAGUACCAACAUCUGUUGACCUUGUAAAAAUAGUCAACCAGGCAUGCAUUAUAACAGACACUUCGAACUGCACUUGCAUUUUGGAGCACUCAUUCCUAAAUAAAAUGCCUUUUCACCAAGCCUGCACCUCAAGUUUCAGAACCUAUGUUGAAGAGGAAGGGGAAACCUUUUAAGAGUCAGAGAGAUGUAUUCAAUGAAUAAAAGACAAUAGAAAAUUAUCACCACAAAAAAAAAAAAAAAGUCAGAGAUGACUCCAAGAAAACAAAGUCCUCCAGCCACAACAGGACUGAUGUACACAAGAUCACACAGAGACAGAGACCACACAGGUUCAAGCCAGAUGGGGCCCCAGCACUGAGAAAGGGAAGUGGACACUAAUUCUCCUCCAUACUCAAGAAGCUAUCUGCUUUUGGUACCCACUUGCAAAGAAAAAAAAAUAGUCUUCUUCAAUGAAGUCUCAUAGGGCAUAUUAACCACCCUUCACCAUAGUCCCCAUACCUACGAGUAGAUGGCCAACACAAAAAAAUUUUUGUAGAACUUUUUCUCACAUUGUUUGGACAGUUUUUGAUCUUACUGAUCUUUUGGCUUCCAGUUUUGUUUGAGUUUCUUGAUUGUUUCUUAUGGUAAGAGAAAAAAGCAUAGAUUUGGGUAGUCAGGGAGAGGUGGGACAGAUAUUAGAGGAAUUUGGAGGUGGACACAUGCAAAUACCUGUGAGUUUGAGGGCAGGGUAGCCUGUAUAAUGA